GCGCUUGUAGCUCAACUGGAUAGAGCGUUAGCCUCCGGAGCUAAAGGUUCAGGGUUCGACUCCCUGCAAGCGCGCCA
rnacentral:tRNA from 1 species